GACGAACGCUGGCGGCGUGCCUAAUACAUGCAAGUCGAACGCAGUGGGGACGGGUGAGUAACACGUGGGUAACCUCCCCCUCAGAGGGGAUAACACUUGGAAACCGGUGCUAAACCGAUACUGCUGGAUGGACCCGCGGUGCAUUCGCUGGUUGGUGGGGUAACGGCUCACCAAGGCCACGAUGCAUAGGCGGCCUGAGGUGAUGGUGGGCCAGACGUGGACUGAGACGAGGCCCAGACUCCUACGGGAGGAACGGGUAGGGAAUCUUCGGGAGUGGGCGAAAGUCGAACCGGGCAAAGCCGCGUAAGAGAGGAAGGUUUUCGGAUCGUAAAGCUCUGUUGUUAGAGGAGCGGUAUCUAACCAGAAAGCAACGGCUAACUACGUGCCAGCAGCCGCGGUAAUUC
rnacentral:rRNA from 1 species